rnacentral:rRNA from 1 species
UGGCAGCAGUCGAGAAUUUUUCUCAAUGGGGGAAACCCUGAAGGAGCGACGCCGCGUGGAGGAUGAAGGUCUUCGGAUUGUAAACUCCUGUCAUUUGGGAACAAUUGCCAGUAAGUAACUAUUAUUGGCUUGAUAGUACCAGAAGAGGAAGAGACGGCUAACUCUGUGCCAGCAGCCGCGGUAAUACAGAGGUCUCAAGCGUUGUUCGGAUUCAUUGGGCGUAAAGGGUGCGUAGGUGGCGCCGUAAGUCAGGUGUGAAAUCUCGGGGCUCAACCCCGAAACUGCACUUGAUACUGCGGUGCUGGAGUACUGGAGAGGAGAUUGGAAUUUACGGUGUAGCAGUGAAAUGCGUAGAUAUCGUAGGGAAGACCAGUGGCGAAGGCGAAUCUCUGGACAGUUACUGACACUGAGGCACGAAGGCCAGGGGAGCAAACGGGAUUAGAUACCCCGGUAGUCCUGGCAGUAAACGGUGCGCGUUUGGUGUGGGAGGAUUCGACCCCUUCUGUCCGGAGCUAACGCGUUAAACGCGCCGCCUGGGGAGUACGGUCGCAAGAUUAAAACUCAAAGAAAUUGACGGGGGCCCUCACAAGCGGUGGAGUAUGUGGCUUAAUUCGAUCCACGCGAAGAACCUUACCUAGCCUUGACAUGCAUCUCUAAGUCGGUGAAAGCCGGCGAGUGUAGCAAUACACAAUUUGCACAGGUGCUGCAUGGCUGUCGUCAGCUCGUGUCGUGAGAUGUUGGGUUAAGUCCCGCAACGAGCGCAACCCCUGUGAACUGUUGCCACCGGCCUUCGGGCCGAGCACUCUGUUCAGACUGCCCUGUGAAACGGGGAGGAAGGUGGGUAUGACGUCAAGUCAGCAUGGCCCUUACGGCUAGGGCUGCACACGUACUACAAUGCUCAGUACAGAACGAACCGAAACCGCGAGGUGGAGGAAAUCCCAAAAACUGAGCUCAAUUCGGAUUGGAGGCUGCAACUCGCCUCCAUGAAGCCGGAAUCGCUAGUAAUGGCGUAUCAGCUACGACGCCGUGAAUACGUUCCCGGGCCUUGUACACACCGCCCGUCACAUCAUGGAAGUCACUUGUACCCGAAGUGCCUGCGCCAACCGCAAGGAGGCAGGGCCCUAAGGUAUGGGUGGUAACUGGGAUGAAGUCGAAACAAGGUAGCCGUAGGGGAACCUGCGGCUG